GAGACGACAUUCCUCCUUUGAAGAAGCUUUUUGGCCUGAAAUUAUUUGACACGUCUCCUCCCACCUCAAGCUCUCCGGUUGGUAAAUGCAAGACCUUGUGUAAGAUAUUCUCAUCUAUCCCAAUCAAGACUCCUCUUACCACAUUCGAACCAUCCUCUCGAUCAUAAUUUUUUAUAUAUUCUGCCAUUCGUUCUACAUCAAUUGGUGGUAGU
rnacentral:lncRNA from 1 species